rnacentral:rRNA from 1 species
AUUGAACGCUGGCGGCAGGCUUAACACAUGCAAGUCGAGCGAGCGGCGGACGGGUGAGUAAUGUCUGGGAAACUGCCUGAUGGAGGGGGAUAACUACUGGAAACGGUAGCUAAUACCGCAUACCAUCAGAUGUGCCCAGAUGUGAUUAGCUGGUAGGUGGGGUAAUGGCUCACCAAGGCGACGAUCCCUAGCCGGUCUGAGAGGAUGACCGGCCACACGGGAACUGAGACACGGUCCAGACUCCUACGGGAGGCAGCGUUGGGGAAUAUUGCACAAUGGGCGCAAGCCUGAUGCAGCAAUGCCGCGUGUGGGAAGAAGGCCUUCGGGUUGUAAAGCACUUUCAGCGAGGAGGCGUUACUCGCAGAAGAAGCACCGGCUAACUCCGUGCCAGCCGCCGCGGUAAUUC